UACGUAGGGUGCAAGCGUUGUCCGGAAUUAUUGGGCGUAAAGAGCGUGUAGGCGGCCCGACAAGUCCGCUGUGAAAGUCCAGGGCUCAACCCUGGAAUGCCGGUGGAUACUGUCGGGCUAGAGUCCGGAAGGGGCGAGUGGAAUUCCUGGUGUAGCGGUGAAAUGCGCAGAUAUCAGGAGGAACACCGAUGGCGAAGGCAGGUCUCUGGGCCACUACUGACGCUGAGAAGCGAAAGCAUGGGGAGCGAACAGG
rnacentral:rRNA from 1 species